rnacentral:rRNA from 1 species
UACGAAGGGGCUAGCGUUGCUCGGAAUUACUGGGCGUAAAGGGCGCGUAGGCGGACAGUUUAGUCAGAGGUGAAAGCCCAGGGCUCAACCUUGGAAUUGCCUUUGAUACUGGCUGUCUUGAGUUCGGGAGAGGUGAGUGGAAUGCCGAGUGUAGAGGUGAAAUUCGUAGAUAUCGAGAGGAACACCGGUGGCGAAGGCGGCCUUCUGGACAGUGACUGACGCUGAGACGCGAAAG